rnacentral:rRNA from 1 species
GACGAACGCUGGCGGCGUGCUUAACACAUGCAAGUCGAACGGAAAGGCCCUGCUUUUGUUGCUUUCUCGAUUGGCGAACGGGUGAGUAACACGUGAGUAACCUGCCCUUAUCUGUGUGAUAACUUCUGGAAACUGCGGCUAUUACCCGAUAUAAUCUCCUGCUGCAUGUUGGUGGUUGGAAAAUUUCGGCGGUUGUGGAUGUUCUCGCUGCUUAUGAGCUUGUUGGGCUGGUAGGUGCUUACCAAGGCUUUGACGGGUAGCCGGCCUGAGAGGGUUACCGGCCACAUUGGGACUGAGAGACGGAGCAGAAUGCUAUGGGACGCAGCAGUGGAGAACAUUGCGCAACAGCGGGACGUCAGAUGCAGAAACGCCGGGUGCGGGAUGCCGGCUUUUGAGUUGUGAACCAAUUUCGAAUGAGCUGUAGAGUGCGUGACGGUACUGGGUAAAGAAGCAACGGCUAACUACGUG